rnacentral:rRNA from 1 species
GACGAACGCUGGCGGCGUGCUUAACACAUGCAAGUCGAACGAAGUGGCGAACGGGUGAGUAACGCGUAAUCAACCUGCCCUUCAGAGGGGGACAACAGUUGGAAACGACUGCUAAUACUGCAUACUGAAGGAGGGGAUUGCGUCGGAUUAGCUAGUUGGAGGGGUAACGGCCCACCAAGGCGAUGAUCAGUAGGCCGUCUGAGAGGAGGAACGGCCACAGUGGUACUUAGACACGGCCCAGACUCCUACGGGAGGCAGCAGUGGGGAAGCUUCCGCAAUGGACGAAAGUCUGACGGAGCAACGCCGCGGGAGUUAGGACGGCCUUCGGGUUGUAAAGCUCUGUUAAUCGGGACGCGGUACCGGAAUAGAAAGCCACGGCUAACUACGUGCCAGCAGCCGCGGUAAUUC